GUCAAAAUUUUGACGUUUGAACUUUUUUAAAAUUCAAACUUCAAAAUUGUGACCAUAAGCAAUGAAGUUCAUGUUCAUCACUCUAUAAUGGUUAUGUGCUCGAUGGACUACACUAUAAUGUUAGAUUGCACAAAUAGAUGUAUUGAGGAUAAUAUUA